rnacentral:lncRNA from 1 species
GUCAUCACUUCAUUUUUUUGCACCUGCGCAUAAAUCUGAGAAACGUGAGUUUGUCAUCAUUGUUUAUCUAGACAUAGGAUAGGUUGUGUGAAAAUAUUACUGAUGUUUAACGUUAAAAAUGGACCAAAGGAUUAAUGCUAAACAACGUUUGACAUGUUUGAAUGAACGUAAAUAGAUUAUUUACUAGGUUUUUUUAGCUUUUCGGCGUGAUUUUACACCCCCCCCCACCACGUUUUGUGGGAGCAUAAUGAACGCUAACUACUUGGUGUUAUUUGGACAUAAAUUAUGAACUUUGUCAAAAGAAACCACAUUUGUUCCGGACCUGGGAUUCCUGGCAGUGCCUUCUGAUGGAGAUAAUCAAAGGUUUUAGAAUUAGAGCGCUCAUCCAUGGAGAUCCCAGAGGUGCUGCCGCAGGAGGGUCAGAGGAGG